CAGUAGCCGCGGUAAUACGUAGGGGGCAAGCGUUAUCCGGAUUUACUGGGUGUAAAGGGAGCGCAGGCGGUCUGGCAAGUUGAGAGUGGAAGCAGGGGGCUCAACCCCCUGACUGCUCCCAAAACUGUUGGACUGGAGUAUGGGAGAGGCAGGCGGAAUUCCUAGUGUAGCGGUGAAAUGCUCAGAUAUUAGGAAGAACACCGGUGGCGAAGGCGGCCUGCUGGACCAAAACUGACGCUGAGGCUCGAGAGCGUGGGGAGCGAACAGGAUUAGAUACCCCAGUAGUCCCUGUCUCUUAUAC
rnacentral:rRNA from 1 species